rnacentral:lncRNA from 1 species
AUGUAUGUUUUCAGGGCUGGCUGUUUGGCACUGCACAAUUGAUUGUGCACAUCCCCAGUUGAUGAGGGGAGCACCACGUCUCCUUUUCCCAACUUUACUCAGUUGUUUGUCGUUCCUUUUCUCUCUCUCUCUCUCUCUCUCUCUCUCUCUCUCUCUCUCUCUCUCUCUUUUUUUAAUGGUUUUCAUCUAAAUGCAGGAUGCUGUGAAAGUUCAGGCCACAUAAACAUGUAAGCUUUGCUGUUUCUGGAGGAUUCCAUUAUGGUUACGCUCUGGGGAGGGCCUUAGAGCUUUGCAGAUUCUUGCUGAGUCCUCACAGGCACAGAGUGAGCCCCUUCUGAGUCAGCUUGGAGCACUCAUUUCUACCGUCAUGACCUAUUUACUAAUUAAUCUCCGUGAAACCCCACCUGAAAUGCCUGUAACAUAAGGAUUAGAUUUCCUUAUGUCAGUUUGGGGAGUGUACAUUCAGCCCUAGCAGGAUGCUUGCUGAGCAACUAAAAUUUUAAUUUCAUGCUGAACUGAGCAGUGGAUGCCCCUUCAAGUUAGUCUGUUCUCUUGCCAUUGUCUUUUUGCUCUAUAAAAUGUUGAGGGUUGGGGUUCUCUUUGGAUUUCCUUUGGUCAGGACCUAGAUCAUAUUCUUGCCUUACUUUGCUUUAUGAGGCACCGCUGUCACUUAGAAAUGGCACAGCUCUCAGUGGACUCACCUGUGAAGGAAUCAUGAAAAAGUUUCAUAAAAAUCACAUAUGUAAGAGUUGGUCAUUCUCAGCUUCUCAGUUUGUCACAUGGGAAGUUUUUUGUUUGUUUGUGACAGGGUCUUACUGUGUAAUCUGGCAUGGAGUGGGGUUUGUUAUAUAGACCACCUCAAAUUCAGAUCCACCUUGCCUCCCAAGUGCUGGGGUUAAAGAUAUGUACCACCAUGCCUGGCCUUUUGUCACAUGUUCAAAUAAUUUGACCAGUUCCAGGAAAGCAGGCCUUGAUGAAGGCAAGAGAUCUAUCUGUCUAGAUAUCUUUUAUUGCAAAGUAGUGUGCUGAAAAUACUCAGCGAAUUCUAAUGAUGUUGAGGCUGGGGAAAAGGCAUAAUUUUCAGUGACUAAGCGCUUAGGGGUGGGGUAGUCUGAGUAGCUAUGUUUUUCUAGCAGGGCUGCCUGCUUUUAAUGUGCUGGGAUUAGCACAUUAGGUGUGCUUCUUAGACAUUGCCAACUUUCAGUUCACAUAAGUGGGUACCUAUAGCUUCUUCACAGUACUUUGAGGUAAUAUGCAUUAGCGCUAGUUUAUGAAGUGUGAAAUAAGCAAUUCUAGGCUGGGCUUGUGGUGCAGAUAGAGAAAUCAUAGGGCAUAGCUCAGUACUAUAGCACCUGUCUAACAUGCCUGAAGCCCUCGUUUCAGUCCACACUAGCACAAGACAGAAAAAGAAACUGUUUUUUCAGUCAUCUUACCUUCUACUUUUGAGUAUCUGGGUGUGUGUGUGUUUUCUGUAUUUUGCUGGGGAUCAAACCCAGGGCCUUAAGCAUGCUAGAUGGAUUUCUUAUUAUCCUGUAAAUUGACUCCUCCCCCUCCCCUUCCUUCAGAAGAAAAUCAUUGUGUACAGCUCAUAGCUAAGAGGAAGUGAGUUUUUCUACUCCUGAAAGUAAAGUCCAUAAACUAUUUGAAAUUGAUGCACAUGGGAGACUUGUCCUGUGUACUAUUCAAUCAUUUAACUCGGUAUGGAUUCUGGGGUAUAUCUUGUUAGAAUUAUCCUAGCUUUAGCCAUUGAGACCUCAGUAACUUCCUGUAGUCUUCUGAUUGGCAUAUGUGUUUGUGCUGAGCAUUUUUUUUACAUUUUGGAAUUACAAAAUGCCAAUGCUUUGUCUUGUGUAUUUACACACUAGAGUCAGCAAUUUUUCUUACAUCUUAACUAUAUUUACUGGAAAGCAGUUCAAUAAACCAUUAUCUAGGCAAUAGGUAUGCAAGAAUCUACUUGACUGUGCAUAUACCCGAUUCUAAUAACACACCCGGCAUCCUAAGGCUAUUAUAUACACGUCUGUACACACAGACUGCACCUUGCAACCUAGGCCCCCUUACCCGCAUUGGGUUACACACUCCAUUCUAAACAAUGGGAUCCAUGUCUCUUACCCUUAACAACCAUCAACUAUAGACAUCCUAUUCAGUCAUAUUCCAGUAUGUCCUGGUACAAGAAGGUCAGAUCUGGCCUAACCCAAUUUCUGAAGCUCUCUGUAGCUCCUUGACGGUCCAUAAGAUGGCAGUCCCAGCUAACCCUCGACCACAGCAUUUUGACUUGAAGACACUCAAGCAAGACAUGUCUGGGCAUCUCACCCACAGAAGCUAAAAUAGCAGGUGCUAUUUUAAUCGUUAAAUCUAUGGGGGUGGGUAUUGUCUGUUGGCUGGCAAAACUUAUAUGUAUGCUCAAGGUCUGCAGUUUUCUAUCAGUAUACAAGGGUUUCUCUUUUUUGACUUUGGCAAACACUUUUAUAAUAUUAUAGGGUUUUCCAUUUUAAUUUUUUGUCAGCUUGGAAGGUGACAAAAGUAGUGUUCAUUUUAAUUACAUUUGUUAGAUUACAUAUUGAAUAACCUUUCAUUAUCUAGAUACUUGAGAUUCCAUUUCUGAGUGUUGAUUUGAAGAUAUUUCUUACAUAAGUAGCUCUUGAUGGUUUUGGACAUUGAUAUAUCCUGAUGUUUUUGCCUUUUUUUGCUAAACAAGUUUCACUUUGACGUAGUUAACAGUCAUACAUUGUUUUUGUUAAGAUUUACAUCUUAUUAGGUAGGACCACUGACGUCUGAAAUUUAGAUUUUCAAAUAGUACAAAGGCCUUUGUAUUAUAGAUUGUUGAGAAUGUAGCUGAAGAGAUGAGAUGGCCCAGUGGUUAGGAGAAUUGGCUGCUCUUCAGAGGUCCCCAAGGUUCUAUUCCCAAAACCCACAUAGUAGUUCACAACUCUUCAACAACCCUGCACUUCCAGUUCCAGGAGAUCUGUUACCCUUUUCUGGGCAUCAGGCAUACGUGCGACACAUAGAUGUCUGUGCUAGCUAGACACCUGUAU